AUUGAACGCUGGCGGCAGGCCUAACACAUGCAAGUCGAACGGUAGCACAGAGGAGCUUGCUCCUUGGGUGACGAGUGGCGGACGGGUGAGUAAUGUCUGGGAAACUGCCCGAUGGAGGGGGAUAACUACUGGAAACGGUAGCUAAUACCGCAUAACGUCUUCGGACCAAAGUGGGGGACCUUCGGGCCUCACACCAUCGGAUGUGCCCAGAUGGGAUUAGCUAGUAGGUGGGGUAAUGGCUCACCUAGGCGACGAUCCCUAGCUGGUCUGAGAGGAUGACCAGCCACACUGGAACUGAGACACGGUCCAGACUCCUACGGGAGGCAGCAGUGGGGAAUAUUGCACAAUGGGCGCAAGCCUGAUGCAGCCAUGCCGCGUGUAUGAAGAAGGCCUUCGGGUUGUAAAGUACUUUCAGCGGGGAGGAAGGCGUUAAGGUUAAUAACCUUGGCGAUUGACGUUACCCGCAGAAGAAGCACCGGCUAACUCCGUGCCAGCAGCCGCCGUAAAAC
rnacentral:rRNA from 1 species